AUCUCAUUCCUCACCAUGCUGGAAUUCUUAUAAACUCCCAAGAAUGGGACUUUGUAGGGGAGACGCCCAUUACAUCAGAUCAGACUGGAAACCACCUCCUGGAGCCCCAUCCCAUGUUGAUUGAAGACCAUACCCAGAGGAAAAUCUAAGUUAGAGGAAAAUUUGUUCCAAAGUCCAUAGAGAAUUUAAAAGUCGGCAAGAGAUGAGGCCAACUUCCAUGGGAAGAUAAUCCUAAACAAUUAAUCAACUGGAAAUUAAGCAAAAGGAAAUUCUAAAGAGUCAGGAAAAGUCAUAAUGUUCAUGAGGAAGGAGAGACUGCUUAUGGAAGGGUUCACUCUGAAUUUUAUAAAAGAUUCACAACUUUUGGAAGCAGUUUCAAGCCAAUUUUGGAAGGCACAGAAAAGUACAAGUUGUUCAGUCCAGAGAACAAAAAUUAUGACUGCUGAGCCUGCAAGAGAUGGAGAGAAGGCUUUACAGUUUGGGUUGUAGAAUUUGCUUUGGGAUCUAGACUGUCUAUUGAUACCAUUGCUUAAAAUAAUUUCAAAGGCAAAAAUCUCUUUGAUACUGAAGUACCUUUUUACUUGAUGGCAACACUCGGUAUUGCAAAGAAUCUGGGAUGUGUUUUCUAUGUCAUGCUCUCCCUUGUUAACGGCUAACAUAUAUGGUGUUAGCCACUGUGCUAAAUGCCUUUAUGUACUUUAUCCCAUUUAAUUCUUAUGUCUCUAGGAGAUAAAUUAGAUCACUCCUCAAUUUACAGAAAUUGAGACUCAGAGAGGCUUGGUAUUUUGCCCAAUAUCUCAGGGAAAACUGGUAACUCCAGGACUCAUGCAGGUGUGUCUGAUGGCAAUGGUGUGAAUUUUGUGUUACACAAUUUCUCGUAAGCCAGAGAGGCCCGAGAUAGUCGCAGCUUCUACAGAAAAUUUUUAAAAGAGAGGAGAGGAGCUACAUACUGCAGACCAACCCUGCCUAUAUGCUGCCAAUUUUUGCAUUCACGUGCCCUUUUCCUCAAUUUAGAAAUGGAGAAUACUAUCCUUCCUUCAUUCUCUUGACUGUGACUUCCCAAAAGACAACAUUCUUGUGAGCUCAAAAUAAACUUUUAUUUGAUCAUCUUGGGAGCAAGAUGAGGAAGAAAAAGCAUUCCACUGUAAAGAUUUACCAGAAUCUAUUUACCCUUUCCACCUGGGAUGGACAUGUGAGUUGUUUCCAGUCUGGGGUAUUAAAAGUAGUGCUGUUACGUAAA
rnacentral:lncRNA from 1 species